AACGAACGCUGGCGGCAGGCUUAACACAUGCAAGUCGAACGCAUCCUUCGGGGUGAGUGGCAGACGGGUGAGUAACGCGUGGGAACGUGCCCUUCAGUUCGGGAUACCCCAGGGAAACUUGGGCUAAUACCGGAUACGUGCGAGAGCAGAAAGAUUUAUCGCUGAAGGAUCGGCCCGCGUCUGAUUAGCUAGUUGGUGGGGUAAUGGACCACCAAGGCGACGAUCAGUAGCUGGUCUGAGAGGAUGAUCAGGCACAUUGGGACUGAGACACGGCCCAAACUCCUACGGGAGGCAGCAGUGGGGAAUAUUGGACAAUGGGCGCAAGCCUGAUCCAGCCAUGCCGCGUGAGUGAUGAAGGCCUUAGGGUUGUAAAGCUCUUUCGUCCGGGACGAUAAUGACGGUACCGGAAGAAGAAGCCCCGGCUAACUUCGUGCCAGCCGCCGCUGUAA
rnacentral:rRNA from 1 species